GGAAGUAAAAGUCGUAACAAGAUUUCCGUAGGUGAACCUGCGGAAGGAUCAUUAACACGAAACCCACGUUUCAAACCAAUCUGUGCUCUGUAACCUUGUAGCAAUAGAGGACCUCAUUCUUCGGAGCGAACCUUUACUGCUUAUUUUUAACAAUUUUUAACCCCUUGUAUCAUUUAUUGACUGAACCUUCAAAGCUUGAGUGAAAUCCUUCGGAUAGAACUCGCUUUCGAUAUUACGAAACUCAGAACAACUCUUAGCAACGGAUAUCUUGGUUCUC
rnacentral:misc_RNA from 1 species